rnacentral:rRNA from 1 species
UGGGGAAUUUUGGACAAUGGGGGAAACCCUGAUCCAGCCAUCCCGCGUGUGCGAUGAAGGCCUUCGGGUUGUAAAGCACUUUUGGCAGGAAAGAAACGUCGCGGGUUAAUACCCCGCGAAACUGACGGUACCUGCAGAAUAAGCACCGGCUAACUACGUGCCAGCAGCCGCGGUAAUACGUAGGGUGCAAGCGUUAAUCGGAAUUACUGGGCGUAAAGCGUGCGCAGGCGGUUCGGAAAGAAAGAUGUGAAAUCCCAGAGCUUAACUUUGGAACUGCAUUUUUAACUACCGGGCUAGAGUUGUCAGAGGGAGGUGGAAUUCCGCGUGUAGCAGUGAAAUGCGUAGAUAUGCGGAGGAACACCGAUGGCGAAGGCAGCCUCCUGGGAUAACACUGACGCUCAUGCACGAAAAGCGUGGGGAGCAAACAGGAUUAGAUACCCCUGGUAGUCCACGCCCUAAAACGAUGUCAACUAGCUGUUGGGGGCCUUCGGGCCUUGGUAGCGCAGCUAACGCAUUAAGUU